rnacentral:rRNA from 1 species
UCGAGCCGUACUCCGAAUGCUUAGAUUAAAGUUUGAUCAUGGCUCAGACUGAACGCUUNCGGUAGGCCUAACACAUGCAAGUCGAACGGCAGCACAGGAGAGCUUGCUCUCUGGGUGGCGAGUGGCGGACGGGUGAGGAAUACAUCGGAAUCUACUCUGUCGUGGGGGAUAACGUAGGGAAACUUACGCUAAUACCGCAUACGACCUACGGGUGAAAGCAGGGGAUCUUCGGACCUUGCGCGAUUGAGUGAGCCGAUGUCGGAUUAGCUAGUGGGCGGGGUAAAGGCCCACCAAGGCGACGAUCCGUAGCUGGUCUGAGAGGAUGAUCAGCCACACUGGAACUGAGACACGGUCCAGACUCCUACGGGAGGCAGCAGUGGGGAUUG